UACGUAGGUGGCAAGCGUUGUCCGGAUUUACUGGGCGUAAAGGAUGCGUAGGCGGACAUUUAAGUCAGAUGUGAAAUACCCGAGCUUAACUUGGGUGCUGCAUUUGAAACUGGGUGUCUAGAGUGCAGGAGAGGUAAGUGGAAUUCCUAGUGUAGCGUGAAAUGCGUAGAGAUUAGGAAGAACACCAGUGGCGAAGGCGACUUACUGGACUGUAACUGACGCUGAGGCAUGAAAAGCGUGGGGGAGCAAACAGG
rnacentral:rRNA from 1 species